CUGAUGAGCCAUGCCGCGUGUAUGAAGAAGGCCUUCGGGUUGUAAAGUACUUUCAGCGGGGAGGGACCUGGUUAAUAACCACAGCAAUUGACGUUACCCGCAGAAAACGCCGGCUAACUCCGUGCCAGCAGCCGCGGUAAUACGGAGGGUGCAAGCGUUAAUCGGAAUUACUGGGCGUAAAGCGUACGAGAGAGAAGUCUGUCAAGUCGGAUGUGAAAUCCCCGGGCUCAACCUGGGAACUGCAUUCGAAACUGGCAGGCUAGAGUUUGUAGAGGGGGGUAGAAUUCCAGGUGUAGCGGUGAAAUGCGUAGAGAUCUGGAGGAAUA
rnacentral:rRNA from 1 species